rnacentral:tRNA from 1 species
GGGUUCGUAGUCUAGUGGUAGAAGUUAACCAUUAAAGGACAGUACCUUGACGUGGUACGAACAGGAGUUCGAUUCUCCUCGAACCCA